UGGCGAACGGGUGAGUAAUAUAUCGGAACGUGCCCAGUAGUGGGGGAUAACUGCUCGAAAGAGCAGCUAAUACCGCAUACGACCUGAGGGUGAAAGGGGGGGAUCGCAAGACCUCUCGCUAUUGGAGCGGCCGAUAUCAGAUUAGCUAGUUGGUGGGGUAAAGGCCUACCAAGGCAACGAUCUGUAGUUGGUCUGAGAGGACGACCAGCCACACUGGGACUGAGACACGGCCCAGACUCCUACGGGAGGCAGCAGUGGGGAAUUUUGGACAAUGGGCGCAAGCCUGAUCCAGCAAUGCCGCGUGCAGGAAGAAGGCCUUCGGGUUGUAAACUGCUUUUGUCAGGGAAGAAAUCUUCUGGGCUAAUACCCCGGGAGGAUGACGGUACCUGAAGAAUAAGCACCGGCUAACU
rnacentral:rRNA from 1 species